rnacentral:misc_RNA from 1 species
AAGUCAUAACAAGGUUUCUGUAGGUGAACCUGCAGAAGGAUCAUUAUUGGAUUGUAAAAUGGGAGGUUGCUUUCGAUGCGCUCCUCUACAUUCUUUAUUCCUGACACCUGUGAAUCGUUGCUGAGUCCGCUCAGUGGCACUUUUUACAUCACACAUAAAAGUAUAAGAACGUAAAUAUAAUAAAUAAAAUAACAAA